rnacentral:rRNA from 1 species
UACGGAAGGCAGCAGUGGGGAAUAUUGGACAAUGGGCGAAAGCCUGAUCCAGCCAUGCCGCAUGAGUGAAGAAGGCCUUCGGGUUGUAAAGCUCUUUUAGUGAGAAAGAUAAUGACGGUACUCACAGAAGAAGUCCUGGCUAACUCCGUGCCAGCAGCCGCGGUAAUACGGAGGGUGCGAGCGUUAAUCGGAAUUACUGGGCGUAAAGGGCACGCAGGCGGUUAAUAAGUUGGAUGUGAAAUCCCCGGGCUUAACCUGGGAAUGGCAUUCAAGACUGGUUAGCUAGAGUCUUGUAGAGGGGGUAGAAUUCCAUGUGUAGCGGUGAAAUGCGUAGAGAUGUGGAGGAAUACCGGUGGCGAAGGCGGCCCCUGGACAAAGCUGACGCUCAUGUGCGAAAGCGUGGGGAGCAAACAGGGAUUAGAUACC